UAGGAAGCCAUACAAGGAAUUGGACUUCCACGGGGGGAUAUGAGGGUUUUGUCCUAGCAAAGGUGCCUGUGGACAGACAGAUGUAGGAAGCAUUCUAAUGAAGCAUCAAGGAAUCGUAAGGAGCAGUUUUUAACUGCUUAAACCACCAAGUCUCUGGGCUGGAACCCACAAAGAAGUGCAGAUGUGGAUUCCCCUACCAACCCCCGAGAAGGUGAUAGGAAAUUCUCCCUGAGGAAGAGGAGGCAAGGAGUAAAGAGCCUGGACUGAGGCAUAUGCUCUAUAUAGUCACUGGAUUCUUGGCUGUGGGACUCUUUAUUACCCCAUAGGGGUGAGAUUAUAAAUGACCUGGCUGAAGUUGUGAGAAGAGGCCAACCAUGGCAGGGUCAAACAGCUGUCUGGUGAGGGGAAAAUGAGAAGGAGUUCUGCAAUGCUGCACCCAGCUGUGAGGGGAUGUGCUUUCUGGUAUUUUCAGGAAACAAGCAGUACAUUGGAUUCCACACUGAGGGGUAUCUUUACAACUAGAAAGGAGCACGUAGACAACCUGGGCCACAUCAUCUUCCUAACCUUGCUUCUAAACUCAGAUGGGGUGAAAGCAGCUCAAGGUAGGUCAUUUCACAUACAAUGUCAAAGGAGCAUCCCUCCCUUCCUCUAAGCCUCUGGAUGCCUUUUAACAUGAUCAUAAUGCACAUAGGGCUCCACAAAUUUGGGCUAAAGACCAACCAUUGCAUGGGAGAGGGGGCCGAGCUGAAGAACAGCCACAACAGACCUGCAAGAUAAUGCUAAGACAGUCAACGUUAAUGCCCAUCCUACAGCUUUGGUACCAUGGCUCCUGAUGCAGGGGAGAUCAGGGAACAACACACUGUGGAACAGCCCUUUGCAUGGGAGCACGAAGAUCUGCAUGGUUUGCCAGCAGAUUUAAAGAUAU